UUUGGUCUUUCCUGCUGCCUUGUGAAGAAGGUGCUUGUUUCUUCUUUGCCUUCUGCCAUGAUUGCCAUGUGAAUCGCACCCCUGGAACUGUGCAGGGCCCACCUGUGUGGCCACACGCAGUGACCCUGAGCAAAGGAGUGACCACAGAAGUGCAUGGCAAAGCAGAAAGGUGUGACGUCUUGGAGGACGCGGGAGGAAAGCACGCCCAGCGGACAGGAGCCAUCACGCGGCUGCGGGCUGCUGCUGAGAACCUGGCGUGGGCCACCGUCGUCAGCAGCGUGGAGGUUCCUCAAUGUGAAGACGACAACGAUGAAGAUCUUUAUGGCUGGGUUCAGUUUUGGUGUCUCAACACCCGUAAUCUUAGCACUUUGGGAGGCCAAGGUGGAUGGAUGGCUUGAGCCCAAGAGUUUGAGACCAGCUUGAGCAAUGUAGUGAAACCCUAUCUCUACAAAAAACUAGCAGGGCGUGUGCCUGUAGUCCCAGUUACUCGGGAGGCUGAGGUGGGAGGACCUGAGCCCAGGGAGAUUGAGGCUGCAGUGAGCCCUGAUUGCGCCACUGCACUCCAGCCUGGGAGUGCGGUCUCAAAGAAAACCCAGUCUCAAGAAACAAAACAAAACAACCCAAAAAAGAUCUUAAGAUGAUCCACUUCUGCUUAAUGAUCAGUGAAUAUUUUUCCUUAUGAUUUUCUUAAUAACAUUUUCUUUUCUCUAGCUUACUUUAUUGUAAGAAUAUAGUAUAUACUUAUAAAACAGAUAAAA
ensembl:lncRNA LINC02780 long intergenic non-protein coding RNA 2780